GUGACUGAAAAAUGGGACAUACACUUCGAAACAAAAAAUAUAUAUGUAUUGAGUGUCCAAAAAUUAAGUUUUCCUUUAACAGAAAAUUUGGAGAAAUUAUAGAAAUAGAUAUGAUAGAAAUGAUAGAAAUAAAUAAUCAAUAUUAUUAUAUAUAUAAUAAUAUAUAUGAUAUACGAUGUAGUAUACAUGAUAUAUAUAAUAUAUAUUACAUGUAUUAUUAUAAGUCAGGCAGAAAGUUAAAGUAAUUUUAAAGCAAUUUUUGUUACAGAGAGUAAAUAUUAUAUAUUGAAUGCUGAGAAAAGUUAUCAUUAGGGAUAUUAAAAAUUAGAGAAAAUGGAAGUAAUAGCAGGGACAUUGCUUUCUCUAGUGCUUAUUCAUUAUAUGAUGUAUUGUGACAUGCAGCACAAGUAUUAUCUGUUAUCCAUAGUACUAUGUCAUUGAGAAAAUUAAUUCUUUUCAUAUGUCAAGAUAAUCCAUUAACAACAGACAACAAUGAAAAGCAUAGAACAACAGUAUCAGCAACAAGUUAUAGUGACAUAUCAGAUUUGAAAAUACAAGCGAAGGAAACAAUAUUCCUUUGAGUUUACAUAAGUACUAUAUUAUAAUGAAUGAAAAUGAUAAUGCAGUACAUAUUAUAAUAACUUGUUGCUAUUCUAUAUGAUUUGAUAAUUUUCAGUCUUCUCCUGUUGAUGUUAUAGGAAAACGUAGAGAAUGAAGAAAGUGAACAAAUGUUAUUAUCUGUUAUACAUGCAUCUUUGAAAAGUAUCAAACAUUUAGUAAUGAAAAAAUAUAUUUUACAUCAGUAGAAGUUAAAUCUUUGUAUGCAAAAUGAGACAUAGGUAUUUAUUUAAUUUGUAUAAAAUAUAUUUCUUAUCGUCUUUUAUAUUACUUUGAAAUACUAUACUUUGUCAUACCAGACAAAAAUUAUCAUAAAGAUAACAAAUUAUUAUUCAGUGUGUCGCUCAAUAAAUGUGGUGCAAAAAGUUUAAUGAUGAUAUGUGAUGUUACAAUAAAAGAACAUUCAAUUUUAAAUCUGUAUAGUAUGGUACUAAAUGCAAAAAACAAUGGAUUUUAAUUGUAUAAAAUACCAUUUAGAUGUUUAUCUUUUAAAGUACUUUAAUACCUAAAUAAGAAUAGAAAAAAAUAGAUUUGGAAAAGAUUUGACAUUUAAUUUUAAUUAUACUAAAAAAUGUACAAAACAUUAGCGAAUAGUUUUCAGAUUAUACAUUGUAUGAUAAUGGAAGAAAAUGUCAUAUCAAAUCAUAAAAAAAUUAAGUAUCGAAUAUAAUCUGAAAUUGUUUUCAAAUCGUAAACUACAAGUUCAACUUUAAAUUAUAAAAAUCUUAGUUUUAGAUUUGAAGAAACCUGUGCUUCUACCUGGUAAUACAUGCGGUUUAGUAGGCAAAUAUGAUAACGUAUUCAUUGCAUAAACAGACAAUGUAAGUAUUGUAAGUACUGAAGUACUGGAAGAGCGAACAAAGAGGACAAACGGUUAAAAAGUAAUAGAAGCAAGUGAAUUCAUAUAAAGGGAUCAGGUCUACUGUAAAUUCAAUUUUGAAUUUUGGAAGAUAUAACUCAAUUUCACUGUAUGAUCGAGGUGCAUUUGCAAGUAUUUCCCAUGAAAAAUUAGUUUGCAAAUUUGAAAGCCCAUCUAUUUCAUUUG